UACGUAGGGGCCUAGCGUUGUCCGGAUUUAUUGGGCGUAAAGAGCUCGUAGGCGGUUUGUCGCGUCUGCUGUGAAAACCCGAGGCUCAACCUCGGGCCUGCAGUGGGUACGGGCAGACUAGAGUGCGGUAGGGGAGAUUGGAAUUCCUGGUGUAGCGGUGGAAUGCGCAGAUAUCAGGAGGAACACCGAUGGCGAAGGCAGAUCUCUGGGCCGUAACUGACGCUGAGGAGCGAAAGCAUGGGUAGCGAACAGG
rnacentral:rRNA from 1 species